UGGUUUGAUUCUGGCUCAGGAUGAACGCUGGCGGCAUGCCUAAUACAUGCAAGUCGAACGGAGUGAAGCCUUCGGGUUUCAUUCAGUGGCGAACGGGUGAGUAAUACGCAGGGAACCUGGCCAUGGCAGGGGGAUACACUCUGGAAACGGAGCAUAAGACCCCAUAGGCAGUAAGGCGGCAUCGCCUUGCUGUUAAAGAAAGCUGAAAGGCUUUGGCGAUGGAUGGACCUGCGGUGCAUUAGCUUGUUGGUGAGGCAACGGCUUACCAAGGCGAUGAUGCAUAGCCGGCCUGAGAGGGCGGACGGCCACACUGGGACUGAGACACGGCCCAGACUCCUGCGGGAGGCAGCAGUAGGGAAUUUUCGUCAAUGGGCGCAAGCCUGAACGAGCAAUGCCGCGUGAGUGAGGAAGGUCUUCGGACUGUAAAGCUCUGUUGCCGGGGAAAAAGGGGAAAUGCAGGAAAUGGCAUUUCAUGGAUGGUACCCGGCCAGAAAGCCACGGCUAACUACGUGCCAGCAGCCGCGGUAAUACGUAGGUGGCGAGCGUUAUCCGGAAUGAUUGGGCGUAAAGGGUGCGCAGGCGGUCUGUUAAGUCUGAAGGCAAAGGGAUGAGCUCAACUCAUUUAUGAUUCAGAAACUGGCAGACUUGAGGACAGGAGAGGGCGGUGGAACUCCAUGUGUAGCGGUAAAAUGCGCAGAGAUAUGGAAGAACACCAGUGGCGAAGGCGGCCGCCUGGCCUGUGACUGACGCUGAGGCACGAAAGCGUGGGGAGCAAAUAGGAUUAGAUACCCUAGUAGUCCACGCCGUAAACGAUGAGGAGCAGGUGUUGGGAGUGAAAUCUCAGUGCCGAAGCCAACGCAGUGACUCCUCCGCCUGGGGAGUAUGCACGCAAGUGUGAAACUCAAAGGAAUUGACGGGGGCCCGCACAAGCGGUGGAGUAUGUGGUUUAAUUCGAAGCAACGCGAAGAACCUUACCAGGUUUUGACAUCGGAUGCGAAGGCGCAGAGAUGCGCUGGAGGCUAUCAUCCAGACAGGUGGUGCAUGGUUGUCGUCAGCUCGUGUCGUGAGAUGUUCAGUUAAGUCUGGCAACGAGCGCAACCCCCGUGGUAUGUUACUAACGCAUUUGGGCGAGGACUCAUAUCAGACUGCCGGUGACAAACCGGAGGAAGGCGGGGAUGACGUCAAAUCAUCAUGCCCCUUAUGGCCUGGGCUACACACGUACUACAAUGGCGUCUACAGAGGGAAGCGACCCUGAGAAGGGAAGCGAAACCGGAAAAGGGCGUCCCAGUUCGGAUUGAAGUCUGCAACCCGACUUCAUGAAGAUGGAAUCGCUAGUAAUCGCGGAUCAGCAUGCCGCGGUGAAUACGUUCCCGGGCCUUGUACACACCGCCCGUCAAACCAUGGAAGCCGGCAACGCCCGAAGCCGGUGGCAUAACCUUUUAGGAGUGAGCCGUCGAAGGCGGGGCCGAUGACUGGGGUUAAGUCGUAACAAGGUACCC
rnacentral:rRNA from 1 species